AGCUGGUUCUCCCCGAAAUGCGUUGAGGCGCAGCGAUUAACGAUUUUAAUAGAGCUAUCUAGGGGUAAAGCACUGUUUCGGUGCGGGCUGCGAGAGCGGUACCAAAUCGUAGCAAACUAAGAAUACUAAAUAUUGCUUUCCGUUAAUCAGUGAGACGGUGGGGGAUAAGCUUCAUCGUCGAGAGGGAAACAGCCCAGAUCACUAGCUAAGGCCCCUAAAUGAUUGCUAAGUGGCAAAGG
rnacentral:rRNA from 1 species